rnacentral:ncRNA from 1 species
UUAUAGUUUUUCCGCUGCCGCAAAAUCGGCAGCCGGGAUUUGCAGCCCGUGUA